GUAAAGGCCCUUUUCAGGGCCACCAAUAAUUUGAUUUUAAUUCUUU
rfam:Schistosoma mattheei strain Denwood, Zambia genome assembly, scaffold: SMTD_scaffold0013049